rnacentral:rRNA from 1 species
GUGUCAGCCGCCGCGGUAAAACCAGCACCUCAAGUGGUCAGGAGGAUUAUUGGGCCUAAAGCAUCCGUAGCCUGUUCUAUAAGUUUCCGGUUAAAUCCAUUAGCUCAACUAAUGGGCCGCCGAAAAUACUGUAGAACUAGGGAGUGGGAGAGGUAGACGGUAUUCGGUAGGAAGGGGUAAAAUCCUUUGAUCUAUUGAGGACCACCUGUGGCGAAGGCGGUCUACCAGAACACGUUCGACGGUGAGGGAUGAAAGCUGGGGGAGCAAACCGGAUUAGAUACCCGGGUAGUCCCAGCUGUAAACGAUGCAGACUCGGUGAUGCGCUGGCUUGUGGCCAGUGCAGUGCCGCAGGGAAGCCGUUAAGUUUGCCGCCUGGGAAGUACGUACGCAAGUAUGAAACUUAAAGGAAUUGGCGGGGGAGCACCACAAGGGGUGAAGCCUGCGGUUCAAUUGGAGUCAACGCCAGAAAUCUUACCCGAAGAGACAGCAGAAUGAAGGUCAAGCUGGAGACUUUACCAGACAAGCUGAGAAGUGGUGCAUGGCCGUCGCCAGCUCGUGCCGUGAGAUGUCCUGUUAAGUCAGGUAACGAGCGAGAUCCCUGCCUCUAGUUGCCACCAUUACUCUCAGGAGUAGUGGGGCGAAUUAGCGGGACCGCCGCAGUUAAUGCGGAGGAAGGAAGGGGCCACGGCAGGUCAGUAUGCCCUGAAACUUUGGGGCCACACGCGGGCUGCAAUGGUAGCGACAAUGGGUUCCGAAUCCGAAAGGAGGAGGUAAUCCUCAAACGCUACCACAGUUAUGAUUGAGGGCUGCAACUCGCCCUCAUGAAUAUGGAAUCCCUAGUAACUGCGUGUCAUUACCGCGCAGUGAAUACGUCCCUGCUCCUUGUACACACCGCCCGUC